rnacentral:rRNA from 1 species
CCUACGGGAGGCAGCAGUGAGGAAUAUUGGUCAAUGGACGCAAGUCUGAACCAGCCAUGCCGCGUGCAGGAAGACGGCUCUAUGAGUUGUAAACUUCUUUUGUACGAGGGUAAACGCAGAUACGCGUAUCUGUCUGAAAGUAUCGGACGAAUAAGGAUCGGCUAACUCCGUGCCAGCAGCCGCGGUAAUACGGAGGAUUCAAGCGUUAUCCGGAUUUAUUGGGUUUAAAGGGUGCGUAGGCGGUCGGGUAAGUUAGGGGUGAAAGCCCGAGGCUCAACUUCGGAAUUGCAGUUGAUACUGUUCGGCUAGAGAGUAGUAGCGGUAGGCGGAAUGUAUGGUGUAGCGGUGAAAUGCUUAGAGAUCGUGCAGAACACCGAUUGCGAAGGCAGCUUACCGGGCUACUUCUGACGUUGAGGCACGAAAGCGUGGGGAGCGAACAGGAUUAGAUACCCUAGUAGUC